GUUUGCACUACUGACGGAAUUCGUGGAUUACCACGGGGGAAUGCAAACUAUAUAAGCCGACCGUCUGGGCAAU
rnacentral:ncRNA from 1 species